rnacentral:lncRNA from 1 species
UUUUUUUUUUUUUUGGUCUUUUUUUAGGGUUACACCUACAGCAUAUGGAAGUUCCCAGGCUAAGGGUCGAAUCAGAGCUGUAGCUGCCAGCCUACCCCACAGUACAGAAACGCGGGAUCUGAACUGUGUCUGUAACCUGCACCACAGCUCACAGUAAUGCUGGAUCCUUUAACCCACUGAGUAAGACCAGGGGUCUAACUCACGUCUUCAUGGACACUAGUCGGGUUAGUUACCACUGAUCCAUAAUGGGAACUCCUCAGGAAUCUUAAUCAUUGCCUUCUGGAUUGUAGAGGCCAGAAGAAAGUACUAUCACAAAAAGCAGAAGAAUUGAAGUGAUAAAUAUAGGUAUCCAUGAAAUUUCCUAAAGCCACAGUUGAAGGUAGAGGGACAUAAUGUUUUUUUGUAUUUUGUUUUCUUUCAUAAAUUAAUUCCUUUAUUUUUCUUUAUAGCACUCAUAACUCUCUAACAUAUUUUUUGCUUAAUCAGUGGCUUAGCAUCAGGCUUCCUAUUGGAAAGUAAGAUCUAUCAGGGCAGGAAUUUUGCCUAUUUUUUCAGGAGCUUUUAUCCCCCAUCCUUUAAGAGAGUUCCUGUUGUGGCGCAGUGGAAACAAAUCUGACUAGGAACCAUGAGGUUGCUGGUUCGAUCCCUGGCCUCACUCAGUGGGUUAAGGAUCUGGUGUUGCUGUGAGCUGUGGUGUAGGUCACAGACACGGCUCGGAUCUCACGUUGCUGUGGCUGUGGUGUAGGCCCACAGCUGUAGCUCUUAUUAGACCCCUAGCCCGGGAACCUUCAGAUGCCGUGGGUGUGGCCCUAAAAAGCCAAAAAAAUACAAUAAAAGGGGGCAAAUGAAAAAUUUUAUUUAUGAAUUUAUUAAUAUAUAGGUCAUAAAAAUAGCUGAGUGUAGGAGAGGUAAAGCCUUCUAGAUAAUAUGAUUAAACAAGGCAGAGGAAACAUAGGAUAAUGAACAGGGUUGAGGGAAGAUAAAUUCCAUUUGGGGUAUUAUUUUACUAUUGCGUAAAAGUAGGAAUUUUACAUAAUCUAUUUAGAAAAUAUGUUGUCGGUAUUUUCUGUAUGUGACCAUUAUAGUAACAAAUACUAUCUUUCACACUUGCACUAGACUGAGAGGCUAGGUGCAUUAACAACGUAAUUGUCCUUUAUGCCACUCAUUGCUAUUGUUCAGUCUUAAUCCAUGAAUAAGCUCUUUCUCAGUCUAAGUGGAAUGGUCCUGUGCUUACUGCUUUUUUUCCAUCUGUAUUUUCACCCUAAAUGAUCUCAUCCAUUCCCAGGACUUCAGGUAUCACCUGUGUACAACAAUUUCUAAAUUCCAAUCCUCUCUUCUGAACUGUACAUUUACAUAGCUAACUGCCUGUCUUCUCUACUUAUGUGUCAAAAAGGCAAGAUUGUCCUGAAUUCUUUUAUCAUCCUGUUCUUCUUUCAUUGUCCCUCCAUUACAUCUUUCCAGUUGCUCCAAACAGCAGUUUGGCAAGUUUCCCUCCUGCCAUAUCCAUUUUAUUAGCAUGGUCUGUAGCCACCUAAAAUACGUUUUAAUCUUUCUGCUAAUUCCAUUUUUGCCUUUACUGUAGGCAAGUCAUCAUCAUUUCUUGCCUUGACCACUGCAGUGGCCUGCUAACACCUGUUAGCACCCUAAUUAACUUCUAACCCAUCUCAUAGCACCCAGAAUGAUCUUAAAACUGCAAACUGGAACCUACCAUUCCCUUGCAGAAAAAAAAAAAAAAAAUCCUUCAGUGGCUUCCAUUUGCCUCUAGAAUAAAAUUUCAGAAUUCUGAAUAUGGCUACAAGUUCUUCCAGGUUUAUCCAUGUCUACUUCUCCAGCCUCAUCUUGGACUGCUCUUCACUAAACUCUGACAACCCUGGCCUGCUUUUUUCCCUUGGUUUGCAUGUUAGUCUGUCUGCCUGAAAUAAUCACCUUCUUCUAUCCCAGAUUAAUUUUGGCUUAUUAUUAAAGUUUCAGCUUAAAUUUUUUAUCUCAGUGAAGCCUUCCUGAUGCCUAUCACUAGAUGGUAUCAGCAUCUCUUGAAACAUGAAAUUUUCCUGCACAGCAAUCAAUCAGCUUUAAACUACUUGUUUGACCUUUCUCAGACUCUUAGAGUCAGACAGUGUGUCUCUUUUGUGUAUUGUUUCUUCAACACUGAGCAUUGUUCCUAGUAUAUAGCAGGUGUUCAAUAAGAUUCUCUGUCUUUUAAAGAUCAUGUAUCUCUUUUGGAAUUUUAGCUAUUAGCAUUUCACAAUUCUCUGACCUAUGGUAGCAUGAAAUAUAGAGAAAAGUAUAUAAAUAUAUAGAACAUCAAAUUAUGAAGAAUACACCCGUGUUAUAUCACUCAGACCAAGAGAAAGCACUUUGCUAGUACUCAGAAGCCCCCACUUUCUCCUUCCUGUCAUAAUGACCACCUCACCUUUUUUAAUAAUUUUACCUGCUUUUACACUGCUUUUAAUAGUUUUACCACCUAAGUAUAUAAUGCAAAGCGCUGUAAUUAAAUGUUCCCCUUUUUAGAACUGGAAUCAUAUACUGUAUGUUUUCUUGGGUCUUUGUUUUCUCAACAUGUUUUUAAGACUUAUUUGUUUCCAUGUAGUGUGCUGUAUAAUAUUUCAUUUUAAGAAUAUACUGUAUUUAUUUUUUACCUUUUUUGCUGGUAAUAGACUUUUGUUGUCUUCAAUUUGCAAUUAAUAUGAACAAGCCUGCUCCAAAUAUUCUUGUAAAAGUUUAUAUCCUGGUUCACUUGAACAUGAUCUUCUCUAAACUCCAUACCAAAGGGUGGAAUCGUCUCAUAGGGAAUGUGUAAUUUCGAAUAUGCUAGACAAUGUGAAACUUUUCCAAAGUGGUUAUCAGUUUCUUUUCUCAGCAGUUGUAUAUGAGUUCCCAUUGUUCUACCUUCUCACCAGUACUUGGUAUGGUCAGCCUUUUUUAUUUUAGCCAAACUUAAAUCACUUUACUUUUAAUUUUCAUUUCUCUGCUUACUAGAAAGGUUAGUAGUUUUUUUAUUGGUUUGUUACCCACAUGAAUUUAUUUUACAAAGUGUUUACUUAAGCGUUUAACCCAUUUUCCUCCUGUUACAUGGUUUUUUUCUUAUUGAUUUGAAGGAAUUCUUGAUAGAUUCUGGAUAUGAGUUUGUUUAUAGCUAAUAAAUAUUAGUGAUUGAAUAAAGCUCUUCCCAAACCACCUAUCUCUUCCUUAUCAUUCACUGGAGUUAUGGGAUGUAUAUUUAAAGUAUGGGACAUUGUCAGUGUUCAUUCUGCUUUCAGUAGUGAGACGUUGUUUGAUAUCUUUAUUAUCUGCCAUCAUUAUUCUAAAGAUAAUUCAAGGUGAUAGCUAAAACUUUAAAAGAUCUCUUUCAUGUUUACAGGU